rnacentral:lncRNA from 1 species
UAAUUUACAAGUACCCGAUAACUAUUUUCCUUAUAUCUCAAAAACCCAAACUCCAAAUUUCAUAAAACUUAUGCACAAAGUUUACUUACAUGAAAUUACACAUUCCUUGAAAUUUUGAGCGAAAACCUCACAAAAUUGCUCAAGAUAUAGCUCAAGAGACAAACACUAGUAAAUCGGUUUACUUACUACUCUUAGAUUGCAUGUACUGACUUCAAAAUCCAAUAAC